rnacentral:rRNA from 1 species
GAUGAACGCUAGCGACAGGCUUAACACAUGCAAGUCGAGGGGCAGCGAGGGCGUAGCAAUACGCCUGUCGGCGACCGGCGCACUGGUGAGUAACACGUAUGCGACCUGCCCCCUACAGGGGUAUAACCCGUAGAAAUGCGGACUAAUCCCCCAUAGUCCUGGGUGCUGCAUGGCAUUCAGGGGAAAGGGUUUCCGGUAGGGGAUGGGCAUGCGGCGCAUUAGCUAGUUGGCGGGGCAACGGCCCACCAAGGCGACGAUGCGUAGGGGUUCUGAGAGGAAGGUCCCCCCACACUGGUACUGAGACACGGACCAGACUCCUACGGGAGGCAGCAGUGAGGAAUAUUGGUCAAUGGGCGCAGGCCUGAACCAGCCAAGUCGCGUGAGGGAGGACGGUCCUACGGAUUGUAAACCUCUUUUGUCGGGGAGUAACGUGCGGGACGCGUCCCGUAUUGAGAGUACCCGAAGAAAAGCAUCGGCUAACUCCGUG